AACCAGGAGAGAGCGGCGCGAACCGGAGACCAGGAGCGCGCGGAAGGCAGGCGGAACACGNGGGGCAGCGGAGAAAGGCGCAGAUAUCACGAAGAACCCCGAUGGCGAAGGCAGCCUGCCGCAGGCGUUACUGACGCUUAAGCUAGAAAGGGCGGGUUUCGAACAGGAUUAAGAUACCCUGGUAGUCCGCGCGGUAAACGAUGGAUGCCCGCUGUCGGCGAUAUACAGUCGGCGGCCAAGGGAAAGCGUUAAGCAUCCCACCUGGGGAGUACGCCGGCAACGGUGAAACUCAAAGGAAUUGACGGGGGCCCGCACAAGCGGAGGAACAUGUGGUUUAAUUCGAUGAUACGCGAGGAACCUUACCCGGGCUUGAAUUGCAGAGGAAAGAUCCAGAGAUGGUGAUGCCCUUCGGGGUCUCUGUGAAGGUGUUGCAUGGUUGUCGUCAGCUCGUGCCGUGAGGUGUCGGCUUAAGUGCCAUAACGAGCGCAACCCCUUUCCCUAGUUGCCAUCGGUUUUGGCCGGGCACUAUGGGGACACUGCCUCCGCAAGGAGUGAGGAAGGUGGGGAUGACGUCAAAUCAGCACGGCCCUUACGUCCGGGGCUACACACGUGUUACAAUGGGUGAUACAGAGGGCCGGCCGCUGGCAACAUCGGUCCAAUCCUUAAAGUCAUCCUCAGUUCGGACUGGGGUGUGCAACCCGACCCCACGAGGCUGGAUUCGGUAGUAAUCGCGCA
rnacentral:rRNA from 1 species